rnacentral:rRNA from 1 species
GACGAACGCUGGCGGCGCGCCUAACACAUGCAAGUCGAACGAGCGAGAGAGAGUUUGCUUUCUCGAGCGAGUGGCGAACGGGUGAGUAACGCGUGAGGAACCUGCCUCAAAGAGGGGGACAACAGUUGGAAACGACUGCUAAUACCGCAUAAGACCACAGCACCGCAUGGUGCAGGGGUAAAAACUCCGGUGGUAUGAGAUGGAUCCGCGUCUGAUUAGCUAGUUGGCGGGGUAACGGCCCACCAAGGCGACGAUCAGUAGCCGGACUGACGAGGUUGAACGGCCACAUUGGGACUGAGACACGGCCCAG